UACGGAGGGUGCAAACGUUGUUCGGAUUCACUGGGCGUAAAGGGCACGUAGGCGGCUCGGCAAAUCGGUCGUGGAAUCCCGACGCUUACCGUCGGAACGGCGGCCGAAAAUACCGGGCUCGAGGGCGUGAGGGGUCACUGGAACUCCUGGUGAAGCGGUGAAAUGCGUAGAUAUCAGGAGGAACGCCGGAGGCGAAAGCGAGUGACUGGCGCGUUCCUGACGCUGAGGUGCGAAAGCUAGGGGAGCAAACAGG
rnacentral:rRNA from 1 species